rnacentral:lncRNA from 1 species
CCCAACUUAUAAUUCUUAUAUAUUUAUUAGAUUUCACUAUAUAAAUAUUAGUUCCAUAUGAAAGUUAUUCGAUUCCCGAAACCUCCAACCGGCACUCUGAAUCUGCCCCUGACCGUAAUGGAAUAAAAAACACACAAUUUUAGUUAAUUGAAGGUUAAGUACAUUAAAUAAUAUAUCACAAGAACUAAAAUCACAACUAAUCAAUAAUUAAUUGACCAAAAGUUCUAAUAUCUUAACAUAUUAGAUCCGUCUCUAGUGCUGACCACACGAUUUCUGAGGAACAUCAUAACAAACUCUUGACUGAGCUAAUAAUUUUGUACCCUUUGAAAAAAUUUCCAAAAUCUGCAAAAUUGAACUUUUUUCUUUCUUUCUCCUCUUUGUUUAAUUUCUUCUUGAUUUAAAGUUCAAAAUUAAGCUCCUCAUUAUAGAAGCUGAACAAAGAGAUGGACUGAUCAUGGCUUUGAACAAUAAUGGAUUCAAAUUAUUUGCCUCCACUGUAUCAACUAUUCCCCUGUCUGGUUACUCCCUCUCUUACUAUCACUCUUUUUCUAAAGUUUCAUCAUUUUCUAUUAUUUACUUAAUUCCAAUAAAGACAAUAAUUGGAAAUUAGGAGGGGAGUGUAGGAGCAAGGAUAAAGUUAUCUCUGUGUGCUAUAGGUUUGGGUUCGAAGCCGUGCACUCAAUCACUAAUGCUUACAUUAGGAUAGAUUGUCUACAUCAUACCUAAAGGGAUGCGGCUCUUCUCGAAACUCUAUGUGAAUGUGAGAUGCUUUUUGUACCGGGCUAACCUUUAUUAUAAAAGGACAUUUAGCCAUACCUAUUGGAUACUCAUGCAACUUUAACCCCUGAGUCUAAUGUAUUAUGCAUGGACUUAUAAAAUGUAUUUUUACAAACAGGUUAGUUAUAAUAAAGAGACUUCUAAAUCUGUGGUCUUAAAUUAAAAUAUUAUGUUUAGUAUGUUAAAUUUUGUAGUUUUAAUCUUUUCAUAGAGGGUGUUUGAAUUGAAAAACUAACUAGAUACAAAAGAAACUCUUCGGGACGGACUAAAAAAAAAAAUGUAAACAAUUAAAUCGGGAUAGAGGGAGAAAUACUAUUUUGCAACAUGAUUGCUGGACUAAGCUACUAGACAUAAAAGUAUCCUUUUGCUCAAACAUACCAGUAAAUGCUGUCUGCAUUUGCUUCCAAUUACGUAAAAGCUAAUUAGUUUCAUUUGAAAUGUUGCUUGUUUCUGUUUUUUUGCAGAGUGGUGCUGGCUUCAGGUAUUGUUCUAUACUUAACCUCAG